GACGAACGCUGGCGGCGUGCUUAACACAUGCAAGUCGAACGGAAAGGCCCUGCUUGCAGGGUACUCGAGUGGCGAACGGGUGAGUAACACGUGGGUGAUCUGCCCUGCACUUCGGGAUAAGCCUGGGAAACUGGGUCUAAUACCGGAUAGGAGCCAUUUUUAGUGUGAUGGUUGGAAAGUUUUUUCGGUGUAGGAUGAGCUCGCGGCCUAUCAGCUUGUUGGUGGGGUAAUGGCCUACCAAGGCGGCGACGGGUAGCCGGCCUGAGAGGGUGGACGGCCACAUUGGGACUGAGAUACGGCCCAGACUCCUACGGGAGGCAGCAGUGGGGAAGAUUGCACAAUGGGCGCAAGCCUGAUGCAGCGACGCCGCGUGGGGGAUGACGGCCUUCGGGUUGGAAACUCCUUUCGCUAGGGACGAAGCUUUUUGUGACGGUACCUAGAGAAGAAGCACCGGCUAACUACGUG
rnacentral:rRNA from 1 species